rnacentral:pre_miRNA from 1 species
CAGUUUGUGCAAAAGUGCUUACAGUGCAGGUAGUGGCGAUGCCCAGCCUACCUGCAGUAUGAGCACUUCUUUCACACGCUG